rnacentral:rRNA from 1 species
GAUGAACGCUGGCGGCGUGCUUAACACAUGCAAGUCGAGCGAACGGACGAGUAGCUUGCUUUUCUGAUGUUAGCGGCGUACGGGUGAGUAACACGUGGUUAACCUACCUAUAAGACUGGGAUAACUUCGGGAAACCGGAGCUAAUACCGGAUAAUAUUUUGAACCGCAUGGUUCAAAAGUGAAAGACGGUCUUGCUGUCACUUAUAGAUGGAUCCGCGCUGCAUUAGCUAGUUGGUAAGGUAACGGCUUAGCAAGGCAACGAUGCAUAGCCGACCUGAGAGGGUGAUCGGCCACACUGGGAGUGAGACACGGUCCAGAGUCCUAGGGGAGGCAGCAGUAGGGAAUCUUGCGCGAUGGGCGAAAGCCUGACGGAGCAACGCCACGUGAGUGAUGCAGGUCUUCGGAUCGUAAGACUCUGUUAUUAGGGAAGAACAUAUGUGUAAGUAACUGUGCACAUCUUGACGGUACCUAAACAGAAAGCCACGGCUAACUACGUG